rnacentral:rRNA from 1 species
UACGAAGGGGGCUAGCGUUGCUCGGAAUUACUGGGCGUAAAGCGCACGUAGGCGGUCUUUAAGUCGGGGGUGAAAUCCUGGAGCUCAACUCCAGAACUGCCUUCGAUACUGGAAGACUCGAGUCCGGGAGAGGUGAGUGGAACUGCGAGUGUAGAGGUGAAAUUCGUAGAUAUUCGCAAGAACACCAGUGGCGAAGGCGGCUCACUGGCCCGAUACUGACGCUGAGGCACGAAAGCGUGGGAGCAAACAGG